rnacentral:rRNA from 1 species
CCUACGGGUGGCAGCAGUGAGGAAUAUUGGUCAAUGGCCGAGAGGCUGAACCAGCCAAGUCGCGUGAGGGAAGAAUGUCCUAUGGAUUGUAAACCUCUUUUGUCAGGAAGCAAAGUAACCCACGUGUGGGUGUUGGAGCGUACUUGAAGAAAAAGCAUCGGCUAACUCCGUGCCAGCAGCCGCGGUAAUACGGGGGAUGCGGGCGUUGUCCGGAUUUAUUGGGUUUAAAGGCGGCGAGGGGGGGUUAUCAAGUCAGAGGGAAAGGCGUGGAGCUAAACUCCAUACAGCCGUUGAAACUGAUGAUCUUGAGUGGACGAGAGGUAAGCGGAAUGCGUGGUGUAGCGGUGAAAUGCAUAGAUAGCACGAAGAACACCGAUUGCGAAGGCAGCAUACUGG